AGAUGGAUCAUUCACGUAUUUUACGCUCCUUUUUGUGGUUUUCGAGUCGCCUCUAUUGUAAGCGAAACCAAAGUUUGUGGUCGACCUUCUUUGAGCUGGAAAAUUUUUAGAAAAACCAUGAUUUUCAGUGAUGGAUGUCUCGGAUUUCGUAACGAUGAAGAACGCAGCUAGCUGCGAUACGCAAUAUGACUUGCAAAUCUCUGAGAGUUAUUAGAUUGUUGAACGCAAAAGGCACUCUUGGAGUCUAUCCAAGAGUAUGUUCACCUCAGUGCUUUUUAUUUUUGUUGUUUUAAAUACAAAACAACGUGGAUAACUGCUGUUAUAACAGCCGUUUAAAUCUGAUAGUUUUAGUUCUUUGGUGAUUUCCUUGGAUACUAAAACUGGUUUUUAUUUCAUAAAGCCUGAGUUUGAGCAAGGCGACCCGCUGAACUUAAGCAUAUUAUUAAGCGGAGGAAAAGAAACUAACUAGGAUUUCCUUAGUAACUGCGAGUGAACAGGAAAACGCUCAAACUGAAAAUCAGCAGUUUCUGCUGAAUUGUAGUCUCAUGAAGUGCAACCUGUAACUUUUACCAGGCUAAGUCUCUUGGAAUAGAGUACCGCAGAGGGUGACAGUCCCGUCUUUGCCGGGUGACAGUUGCGUUCAGGUGCAUUUUCGAAGAGUCGCGUUCCUUGAGAUUGGAGCGCAAAGUGGGUGAUAAAUUUCAUCUAAAGCUAAAUACAGACGAAAUUCCGAUAGUAAACAAGUACCGUGAGGGAAAGAUGAAAAGGACUUUGAAAAGAGAGUUAAAAGGAACUGAAAUCACUGAAAAGGAAGUGAAGUGGCUAACUGUCUAACAGAUCUCCAUGCUUUGCUUAGUUCUUUGACUGAGUUUUGGUGUGAGAGUUAUGUGAUGACUCUGAAAGUGGUUAUUUUAAUGGAUUAAGGCUUUGAAAAAGCACAUUAGUGCGAUUUUUCUGCUGUUGUUCAUUAAAAUAAUCAGUACGUCUAGCGAGACAGUACGCUGUCAAAGCUAUAUUAUUUCAGAUAUGUUAGUUCUCUUCGUCCCGUCUUGAAACACGGACCAAGGAGUCUAACUUAUAUGCGAGUACAAGGGUGGAAAACCCUAGUGCGAAAUAAACGUGACAGUCAGGAAGCGUAAGCUGCACUGACGCCUGGUUCAAAAGCUAAGGCAUAGCAUAUAGGGUAGGACCCGAAAGAUGGUGAACUAUGCCUGAGUAGGGAGAAGCUAGAGGAAACUCUGGUGGAAGCUCGUAGCGAUACUGACGUGCAAAUCGUUCGUCAAACUUGGGUAUAGGGGCGAAAGACUAAUCGAACCAUCUAGUAGCUGGUUCCCUC
rnacentral:misc_RNA from 1 species